AACUAUCCUGGGAGUGUGCCCCUGUUGCUAUGCGACGUGAACUCCGGUGACAGGCUGACAGUUUGACCCCUGCUACGCUCGACAGUGACAGCAGCAGCAGCAGCAUGUCGUUCUCAUCUCGUCUCUCCAACUUCAACCUGAGGAGACAAAAAGAGAGAAACCCACAGAGAGAGAUUGUAACAAUGACAAAAUACUCUAUAUACUCAUCAUGUCAGAGGAGUUACUUCCUCUGAAAGGAUGGGAGUUUAGCAGAUGCUGGUCACUAUUGCAUGGAAAAGAGCUGCAUGAACAUCCUGCUAAACAUCUCCAGAAAACAAAGACAGUGCGGCAGCGCUGGAGCCCGAGCACCAAGGACGCGCGUCUGUUCCUCGCCACAAUAGACUAUUGAGAACAUGAGACACAAACAGGCUGAGGACUGACGCCGUCACCGCUGGAACAGACAGACAGAUGGACAGACGUAGAAAGGAGCAUUUACAUGAGCAGAUAUUUCAUUUCUCUGUCCGCUCACCCACCGCAUUCCUUUGUGUGGUCACUAUUAUCAUCUCUCUCUCUCUGUCUCUUUGUCAGCUGCCAGAUAUUAUUGUAUUUCUUCAGGAUCAGUUCUGGUCAUAUAAACGUCCUCAGUUUCUGUACUUGUGUGUCUGAUGGUGUGAAUGUGUAAACUGUCAUUUGUCUGACAGAGAGAAAUAAUCCUGUGAGUUACCACAUAUAACUUAAACAGUUCUGUGCUGUUAUUAUUUUUCACCUCUCUGGGAUACUUGAUGCUGAUUGGUUAAUCACUGCAUU